rnacentral:tRNA from 1 species
CGCGGAUUAGGCAAACACGGUAAGCCGCUGGGCUCAUAACUCAGAGAUUGUCAGUUCAAAUCUGGCAUCCGCUA